rnacentral:rRNA from 1 species
AGUUUGAUCCUGGCUCAGGAUGAACGCUAGCGGCAGGCUUAAUACAUGCAAGUCAAGGGGUAGCAAUACAACCGGCGCACGGGUGAGUAACGCGUACACAACAUACCAUAUACUGGAGUAUAGCUUUGGGAAACUGAAGGUAAUCCUCCAUAACAUUGCGAGAGGGCAUCUGAUUGCAAUUAAAGUUUCGGCGGUAUAUGAUUGGUGUGCGUUUGAUUAGCUAGUUGGUAGGGUAACGGCCUACCAAGGCGACGAUCAAUAGCUGGCGUGAGAGCGCGACCAGCCACACUGGAACUGAGACACGGUCCAGACUCCUACGGGAGGCAGCAGUAGGGAAUAUUGGACAAUGGAGGAAACUCUGAUCCAGCCAUGCCGCGUGAUAGAUGAAGGCCCUCUGGGUUGUAAAUAUCUUUUAUCUGGGAAGAAACACUCCUAUUCUUAGGAACUUGACGGUACCAGAGGAAUAAGCACCGGCUAACUCCGUG